rnacentral:rRNA from 1 species
CGGGCGUCUUAACAUGCAAUUAGAACGCUGAAGAGAGGAGCUUGCUCUUCUUGGAUGAGUUGCGAACGGGUGAGUAACGCGUAGGUAACCUGCCUUGUAGCGGGGGAUAACUAUUGGAAACGAUAGCUAAUACCGCAUAACAAUGGAUGGCACAUGUCAUUUAUUUGAAAGGGGCAAUUGCUCCACUACAAGAUGGACCUGCGUUGUAUUAGCUAGUAGGUGAGGUAAUGGCUCACCUAGGCGACGAUACAUAGCCGACCUGAGAGGGUGAUCGGCCACACUGGGACUGAGACACGGCCCAGACUCCUACGGGAGGCAGCAGUAGGGAAUCUUCGGCAAUGGGGGCAACCCUGUCCGAGCAACGCCGCGUGAGUGAAGAAGGUUUUCGGAUCGUAAAGCUCUGUUGUAAGUCAAGAACGGGUGUGAGAGUGGAAAGUUCACACUGUGACGGUAGCUUACCAGAAAGGGACGGCUAA